AGGUCGGAUAUUCUGUCUUUCA
rnacentral:miRNA from 1 species